rnacentral:pre_miRNA from 7 species
CACCCCGUGAGACUGACAGGCUUGUUGGACACUCUUUCCCUGUUGCACUACUGUGGGCCUCUGGGAAGCAGUGCAAUGAUGAAAGGGCAUCUGUCGGGCCAGCUAAGGAGCCUGAGGAAC